AGCUCCAAUAGCGUAUGUUAAAGUUGUUGCAGUUAAAAAGCUCGUAGUUGGAUUUCUGGCAGGAGCGACCGGUCACACACUCUGUGUGUGAACUUGUGUUGUCUCUGGCCAUCCUUGGGAAGAUCCUGUUUGGCAUUAAGUUGUCGGGCAUGGGAUACCCAUCGUUUACUGUGAAAAAAGAGAGUGUUUAAAGCAGGCUUAUGCCAUUGAAUACAUUAGCAUGGAAGAAUAAUAUAGGACUUCGGAACUAUUUUGUUGGUUUGCGUUACGAAGUAAUGAUUAAUAGGGACAGUUGGGGGUGUUCGUAUUUCGUUGUCAGAGGUGAAAUUCUUGGAUUUCCGAAAGACGAACUACUACGAAAGCAUUUACGAAGGAUAUUUUCA
rnacentral:rRNA from 1 species